rnacentral:lncRNA from 1 species
AGUGUGCCUAACUGUCCCUUUAUUCUCCCCAAAGGCCUUUGCUUCCAGCUCUCUGAGAGAUGUAGAUGUCUUAAGAAGAGGUUUUGCGAGCUCUUGGUGCGACUUCUGUCACCUGCAAAUGGGGAUUUCUGCGUUCUGACCGAAGACGGGUCCUUCUCCCUGGAUGCAGCAGGACCAACGCUGCCACCAACGUCCCACGUAAGAACAUCGGUCACCCCCGGACCCGUGGGCCACCUGGUAGCCGCCCGCAGCAGGGCCACGCCUGGCCCCCCGGCGGGGAGGGCUUCCCAGCUCCUGCACCCGCCAGGACUCUUGAUGCAUUUCACCCGGCCUGGGCGGCCUGGCGCUCUUAUUCUCCCAGUGCAUCAGCAGCGAUGAUUUCUAGGUUCACCUGUGUGUGACUUUGGAAGCAGUGACCGGCACGCCGCUGCAUUCUGUCAUUUCAGUGUGUCUUAGAGUGAGUCCCCUGGUUUGAUCUGGGUCUGAUUCCCACUGUCAGCUUGGGGCUUUGGAUAUCUGAAUUCAACGGACUUCAACAAUGGCUGCCUUCUUAAGAUCCUCCCUGCCUCGCAUCUCUCAGCCACACGGUGGGCGAUACAGUUGUGAACUCCAAAAGCAGACGUCCCUGAAGACAAUGGCUCCCCGCUUCUGGCUGUUUCCUCAGACCGAGAAGCAACUUUCCCAGAAUGUAUAGAUUUCGUCUCUCACGUUGAUGAAAGUUAAAGCACGUACACUGGUGCUUCCUGCUCAGCAUUCCUGCGCCAGAGCUGGCUGCGGUUGGACUCCGGCCCUCCCGACACAGCCAGACAGUGUCUCUUUUCAUCUCGGAGAACAAUAGCUUAAUUGCCUCGGCCACUUAGUAACCAAAUGCCUUGAUAUGUUCACUGUGAAAUGCUGCGUGCUAUUGGCUCCUUCCAGGGAAGAAGGGAGGGAGAAAAAUUAAAAGCUAACCUCAAGCUAUGAAUCAGUGAAAUACUUUCUAGUCCCUCCAACAGGAAACUUUUUACCCUCCGUGCUUCUCAUUAUCUGCGUGAAACAGACACUUGCGGUGGGGGGGAAGCCACGGGACAGUCUAAGCAAAUUUAAUGAAGUAGCUCUAAAUAUUGUAACGAAGUAAAUGAAGUGAGUAACACAAUUGCCCAUUGCCGGGUCUCUUCUUACAAUAAGCACUGUGAGGGAGUGCGUGCCAGAGGCCGUCUGGAUGGCUGGCUGGGUUGGGAAAUGCCACUGCAAAUCAUCACAUCCCAAGAAACAAU